rnacentral:rRNA from 1 species
UACGUAGGGGGCAAGCGUUGUCCGGAUUUAUUGGGCGUAAAGAGCGUGUAGGCGUCCAGACAAGUCUGCUGUGAAAACUCGAGGCUCAACCUCGAGCUGUCGGUGGAAACUGUCUGGCUAGAGUCCGGAAGAGGAGAGUGGAAUUCCUGGUGUAGCGGUGAAAUGCGCAGAUAUCAGGAAGAACACCAAUGGCGAAAGCAGCUCUCUGGGACGGUACUGACGCUGAGACGCGAAAGCGUGGGGAGCGAACAGG